GUGAAGCUGGAUUCGCUAGUAAUCGCGCAUCAGCCAUGGCGCGGUGAAUACGUUCCCGGGCCUUGUACACACCGCCCGUCAAGCCAUGGAAGCCGGGAGUGCCUGAAGUAUGCAACCGCAAGGAGCGUCCUAAGGUAAAACCGGUGACUGGGGCUAAGUCGUAACAAGGUAAC
rnacentral:rRNA from 1 species